ACCCUUGUGGAGGAGGACGCCGAAGGUGGGGCUAAUGACUGGGGUGAAGUCGUAACAAGGUAGCCGUACCGGAAGGUGCGGCUGGAUCACCUCCUAACAGGGAGACAACAAAAUGUUUAAUAUUAUUAUUUUGUCACCUUAGGUCGAUCGGUAUCUCACGUUCUUAAUUUAUUAAGAAUUUCAUUCCUAAGUUUUUCUAGGUCACACCCAUUAUUUUUCCUGGGCCAUUAGCUCAGGUGGUUAGAGCGCACCCCUGAUAAGGGUGAGGUCCCUGGUUCAAGUCCAGGAUGGCCCAUAUCUCUAUGUUGGGGGUAUAGCUCAGUUGGUAGAGCGCCUGCUUUGCAAGCAGGAUGUCAGCGGUUCGAGUCCGCUUACCUCCACUGAUUACCACCUCUUCCAUAACCGGUAGAAAGGAAAUGUUUUGAGUUGUGAUCAAAUUCUGAAAGAAUCUAGCUUCCUAAUGAAAUCAUUAAGAUGCUGGACUCAUUGAAUUAAUUUCAUUGUUUUCAGAGAACCUUGACAACUGCAUAGAUUAUUUUUAAAGACAAUAAGCAUCUUUAAUGAUGCAGAUUUAUUAUUUGUGCGAAUGCAUUAAUAACAAUUCUAUUAAGCUGAUGCUUCAAUUUUUGAAGUUAUUGGUCAAGCUACAAAGGGCUCACGGAGGAUACCUAGGCACACAGAGGCGA
rnacentral:misc_RNA from 1 species